AGGAUCUGCAUAAAGAAAGGUAGGGAGGGUAUUAGCAAGGGUUAUUCUAGUGGAAGUAUCCAUAAAUUGUGUCUGUAAGGUUUAUUAAUUUGAUGUGUUUUUUAUUACAUCAGAUAUGUGUUGUUCAUAGGUGAGUUUGUUCUCUAUGUGGAGAUUAAUGAGAACAGGAUCUGCAUAAAGAAAGGUAGGGAGGGUAUUAGCAAGGGUUAUUCUAGUGGAAGUAUCCAUAAAUUGUGUCUGUAAGGUUUAUUAAUUUGAUGUGUUUUUUAUUACAUCAGAUAUGUGUUGUUCAUAGGUGAGUUUGUUCUCUAUGUGGAGAUUAAUGAGAACAGGAUCUGCAUAAAGAAAGGUAGGA